UCGAACGAGAAAGUGGAGCAAUCCAUGAGUAAAGUGGCGACCGGGUGAGUAACACGUGACUAACCUACCUCCGAGUGGGGAAUAACUCCGGGAAACCGGGGCUAAUACCGCAUAACAUCGCAAGAUCAAAGCAGCAAUGCGCUUGGAGAGGGGGUCGCGGCUGAUUAGCUAGUUGGCGGGGUAACGGCCCACCAAGGCGAAGAUCGGUAUCCGGCCUGAGAGGGCGCACGGACACACUGGAACUGAAACACGGUCCAGACUCCUACGGGAGGCAGCAGUGGGGAAUUUUGCGCAAUGGGGGAAACCCUGACGCAGCAACGCCGCGUGGAGGAUGAAGUCCCUUGGGACGUAAACUCCUUUCGACCAAGACGAUAAUGACGGUACUGGUGGAAGAAGCACCGGCUAACUCUGUGCCAGCAGCCGCGGUAAUACAGAGGGUGCGAGCGUUGUUCGGAAUUAUUGGGCGUAAAGGGCGCGUAGGCGGUGCCACAAGUCACUUGUGAAAUCCCCGGGCUUAACUCGGGGCCUGCAGGCGAAACUGUGGUGCUGGAGUAUGGGAGAGGUGCGUGGAAUUCCCGGUGUAACGGUGAAAUGCGUAGAUAUCGGGAGGAACACCUGUGGCGAAAGCGGCGCACUGGACCAUAACUGACGCUGAGGCGCGA
rnacentral:rRNA from 1 species